rnacentral:rRNA from 1 species
UACGUAGGGCGCAAGCGUUAUCCGGAAUUAUUGGGCGUAAAGAGCUCGUAGGCGGUUUGUCGCGUCUGCCGUGAAAGUCCGGGGCUCAACCCUGGGAUGCCGGUGGAUACUGUCGGGCUAGAGUACGGAAGAGGCGAGUGGAAUUCCCGGUGUAGCGGUGAAAUGCGCAGAUAUCGGGAGGAACACCAAUUGCGAAGGCAGCUCGCUGGGACGUCACUGACGCUGAGGCACGAAGGUCAGGGGAGCAAACGGG